rnacentral:misc_RNA from 1 species
GAUGAAGAACGUAGCGAAAUGCGAUACGUAAUGUGAAUUGCAGAAUUCAGUGAAUCAUCGAAUCUUUGAACGCAUAUUGCGCUCUUUGGUAUUCCGAAGAGCAUGCUUGUUUGAGUAUCAGUAAACACCUCAAAGCUUUUGGAUUUUUUAAUCGAAAAGCUUUGGACUUGAGCAAUCCCAACACCAAUCUUUUUGAGAUCGGUGGCGGGUUGCUUGAAAUGCAGGUGCAGCUGGACAUUUUCCUGAGCUAAAAGCAUAUUCAUUUAGUCCCGUCAAACGGAUUAUUACUUUUGCUGCAGCUAACAUAAAGGGAGUUUGACCGUAUUGGCUGACUGAUGCAGGAUUUCACAAGGGUCGGCAACGAUUCUUGUUAAACUCGAUCUCAAAUCAAGUAAGACUACCCGCUGAACUUAAGCACAUCAAUAAGCGGAGGA